rnacentral:misc_RNA from 1 species
AAUCCACACCUUUACAGAUUGGGUGAGCGCCAAGUGCUUCAACUCUGUGGUUGCAUAACGCACAGCAGCACGCGGGCCUCCAGCGCUAGCUUCAUGCACAAGUUCUUGGAGCUUCUGUGAUGCUAUCUGUAAAAAGCUCUGGGCUUGACUCACAGCCUGCUUAGCAACAGGUGGAGCAUGCUUAUCAAACUUUCUUGUACCUUCGUCUACCUUAUUAUCAAGAAAUACAAGAAGAUCAUCGGGCAAGUCCUUGAAUUUCCGGUAGACUGGGCUCACAACGGUAGUUACAGCACUCUCGACCGUCCCAACCGUAGAUCUCAGUGGCCCCGAGUUCUGCUUCGCGUAAUCGUAUAGAUUCGAAACGUACACCAGAACCUGGAUAGCUGCGAUCCUCACGAACACUAAGUGCUUCAAUUCUGGGUUCUUCUUCUCCAUCUCCAUCUUAUUGCUUACGAAAUGAGGGGGAAAUUACUCAGCUUCCUCUGCGUUUCUUCUAAGCUUCUUCUUACUCCAGUGGCUUGUAACUGAAU